CAGUGAAAUUGAACUCGCUGUGAAGAUGCAGUGUACCCGCGGCAAGACGGAAAGACCCCGUGAACCUUUACUAUAGCUUGACACUGAACAUUGAGCCUUGAUGUGUAGGAUAGGUGGGAGGCUUUGAAGUGUGGACGCCAGUCUGCAUGGAGCCGGCCUUGAAAUACCACCCUUUAAUGUUUGAUGUUCUAACGUGGGCCCCUAAUCGGGGUUGCGGACAGUGUCUGGUGGGUAGUUUGACUGGGGCGGUCUCCUCCUAAAGAGUAACGGAGGAGCACGAAGGUUGGCUAAUCCUGGUCGGACAUCAGGAGGUUAGUGCAAUGGCAUAAGCCAGCUUGACUGCGAGCGUGACGGCGCGAGCAGGUGCGAAAGCAGGUCAUAGUGAUCCGGUGGUUCUGAAUGGAAGGGCCAUCGCUCAACGGAUAAAAGGUACUCCGGGGAUAACAGGCUGAUACCGCCCAAGAGUUCAUAUCGACGGCGGUGUUUGGCACCUCGAUGUCGGCUCAUCACAUCCUGGGGCUGAAGUAGGUCCCAAGGGUAUGGCUGUUCGCCAUUUAAAGUGGUACGCGAGCUGGGUUUAGAACGUCGUGAGACAGUUCGGUCCCUAUCUGCCGUGGGCGCUGGAGAACUGAGGGGGGCUGCUCCUAGUACGAGAGGACCGGAGUGGACGCAUCACUGGUGUUCGGGUUGUCAUGCCAAUGGCACUGCCCGGUAGCUAAAUGCGGAAGAGAUAAGUGCUGAAAGCAUCUAAGCACGAAACUUGCCCCGAGAUGAGUUCUCCCUGACCCUUUAAGGGUCCUGAAGGAACGUUGAAGACGACGACGUUGAUAGGCCGGGUGUGUAAGCGCAGCGAUGCGUUGAGCUAACCGGUACUAAUGAACCGUGAGGCUUAACCUUACAACGCCGAAG
rnacentral:rRNA from 1 species